rnacentral:rRNA from 1 species
ACUAGUGAUUUCCGUAGGUGAAACUGCGGAAGGAUCAUUCGCACAAAGAAUAUCUUUUACACCCGCCACGCACCACACAGUGCUUUCUGUUUUUAAUCAGGAUUUAUAUCCAACUCGUCGAUGUUGCGAUUCCAUUGCAAUGUAUGCGAUGUUAUCUAUCUCUUGCGACGACGAAUGCCUUGGCUCGAGGAUCGUUGAAGGACGCAGCGAACUGUGCUAAACAUCUCGAAUUGCAGAUUUCCGAGAAAGAAAAGGAUUCUGAACGCACUUUGCGAAUUGACCUCGUGUCAGUUCACUUGAUUGGCGGUGACCGCAAUAUGCAGUCGCUCGAACUCCGAAGUUUGAGUGGUGUGCACGUGUUGUUGCAGAUUGUUGCACCGACAUGUUCGUAGAAUUCGACGCGCCUCUCGUUUUCGAGCAGCAUUAUGACUUCGUGUUAUGAUGUUCGAAAGCAGGGACCGUUUCUUGUUUGGUUUUCCAAGACGAUUCUUUCGCACGCUCACGACCAGUCAAGGGAUUACCCGCUGAAUUUAAGCAUAUCA